rnacentral:tRNA from 1 species
GCCUCGUUGGCUCAAUCGGUAGAGCGCCUGCCUUGUAAGCAGGGGGUUGGGGGUUCGAGUCCCUCACGAGGCUCCA